rnacentral:rRNA from 1 species
GACGAACCGUGCGAACGUUAUUCGGAAUCACUGGGCUUAAAGCGCGUGUAGGCGGGACGGCACGUCGGUCGCUGAAAUCCCCCGGCUCAACCGGGGAACGGGCGCCGAUACGACCGGCCUGGAGGGGCGUAGGGGACCUGGAACUUCCGGUGGAGCGGUGAAAUGCGUUGAGAUCGGAAGGAACGCCCGUGGCGAAAGCGAGGUCCUGGACGCCUACUGACGCUGAGACGCGAAAGCCAGGGAGCGAACGGG